rnacentral:rRNA from 1 species
UACGUAGGGACCAAGCGUUGUUCGGAUUUACUGGGCGUAAAGGGCGCGUAGGCGGCUUAACAAGUCACUUGUGAAAUCUCCGGGCUUAACUCGGAACGGCCAAGUGAAACUGCCUGGCUAGAGUCCGGAAGAGGAGAGUGGAAUUCCUGGUGUAGCGGUGAAAUGCGCAGAUAUCAGGAAGAACACCCGUGGCUAAGGCGGCUCGCUGGGGACGUUACUGACACUGAGGCGCGAAAGCGUGGGGAGCGAACAGG